UACGUAGGGUGCAAGCGUUAAUCGGAAUUACUGGGCGUAAAGCGUGCGCAGGCGGUUUUGUAAGUCUGUCGUGAAAUCCCCGGGCUUAACCUGGGAAUUGCGAUGGAGACUGCAAGGCUAGAAUCUGGCGGAGGGGGGUAGAAUUCCACGUGUAGCAGUGAAAUGCGUAGAGAUGUGGAGGAACACCGAUGGCGAAGGCAGCCCCCUGGGUCAAGAUUGACGCUCAUGCACGAAAGCGUGAGGAGCAAACAGG
rnacentral:rRNA from 1 species